GGGACACACCUGCAGUAUAUUGCCAUGGGCUGCAGGUGGAGGUUUGGACUGAAGCAGUCUGCAAGUAAAAUACAGGUGGAGGAGACACCUGCAGUCUACUGCUAGAGGCUUCAGGUUUUAGGUACACACAUUUGAACUGCAGUAAACUGCAGGAGGAGGCUCCUGCAGUUCACUGGCAAAUACUGGAGGUGGAUAUUGGGCCAGCUCUUUCUUCCAAACACUACAGAUGGAGGAAGGCCCUGUAGUAUACUGGCAGAGGCUGUAGGUGGACGUUUGGCCUCUCAGUGUCUGCCAGUAAAAUGCAGGCGGAGGAGGCUCCCGCAGUUUACUGGCAGAGGUUGUAGGUGGAGGUUUGGCCUCUAGGUGUCUGCCAAACAAUACAGAGGUUUGGUCUGCAGCAGUCUGCCAGAAUAUACAGAAGGGGGACACACCUGCAGUAUAUUGGCAUGGGCUCCAGGUGGAGGUUUGGACUGAAGCAGUCUGCAAGUAAAAUACAGGUGGAGGAGACACCUGCAGUCUACUGCUAGAGGCUUCGGGCUUUAGGUACACACAUUUCAACUGCAAUGAACUGCAGGAGGAGGCUCCUGCAGUUCACUGGCAAAUACUGGAGGUGGAUAUUGGGCCAGCUCUUUCUGCCAAACACUACAGAUGGAGGAAGCCCCUGUAGUAUACUGGCAGAGGCUGUAGGUGGACGUUUGGCCUCUCAGUGUCUGCCAGUAAAAUGCAGGCGGAGGAGGCUCCCGCAGUUUACUGGCAGAGGUUGUAGGUGGAGGUUUGGCCUGCAGACAAAAAGAAGGUGGGCCCUGCAGUUUGCUGGCAGAGGCUGUGGAUUGUAGAUGUUAAGCCGAAUUUUAAAGUGGAGGUGAUUUUCAAGUCAACGGAACGGACCAGAGAUGGGGGUUCAGGAGGCUUGCUUGUCUUUAGAAGGCUGGACACCUCCUUUACUGGCAGGGUGAAGGAUCAGGCCUGGAGUUGGACCAAGCUGAAUUGACAGGUGCAGAUCAGGGAUGGAGGCUGUUAUGGAGUGCCGGCGGAUGAAAGUUGUUGAAAGUGGCCAGGGGAUUUGGUAUGUAAGUCGGCCUGUACAGUGCAGACGGAGGAUGCACCUAAGUUUCGUGGCAGAGGGUGUUGGUGGAGGCUUGGCCUGUAGCUGUCGACCAGUAAAAUGCAGUGGAGGCGGCAUCUGUGGUUUACUGGCAGAGGGUGUGGGUGGAGGUUCUGAAUAAUAUUGUCUGCAACAAUCUGCAGGUGGAGGCAGCACCUGCAGUUUAAUGCCGCAAGCUGUCAGUGGAGGUUUGAGUUUGCAGGUGGAACUGGAUACUUCUGGUAGAGCAUAUUAAAGCAGCUGUCUGCUGCCUGCUAGCGGAGGCUAGGACAGCAGAUGGCUGACAUAAUAUGAAAGUAAGAUUAAGUGCUUUUAAGUGAAAGAAGGUGCUUUGAACAGACCUUUGUUGAGGAUUGCACAGGCACUUCAGAUGCAGUAAGUGGAGAUAAUCGUGUUCCUGUCUUACAGAAUUGGAAGGUUGGAGCAUUAAUACAGAAAUACUAUCAAAUCAAAAAUAUACAACUAAAUACAACUUAAUACAGCUUAAUACAACUUAAUUAUUACAACAUGUAAAUUAUUUUAAUUUAAGUAAGUGAUUUCAAACUCAGAUAAAGUCCUUUCAAAAGAAUAAACAUUCUUAUUUGGAUCAUAGUGUUGAAUAUUACCUGGAGCUUCAGUGUUUCUGUUGCACCACCCAGCUGUCAAACUGGUCCCGCCACUCUAGAUAAAGCCUCAUGUCUAC
ensembl:lncRNA